UACGAAGGGGAGCUAGCGUUGCUCGGAAUCAUCUAGGGCGUGAAAGGGUGCGAUAGGCGGGUCUUUUAAGUCAGGGGUGAAAUCCUGGAGCUCAACUCCAGAACUGCCUUUGAUACAUGAAGAUCUUGAGUUCGGGAGAGGUGAGUGGAACUGCGAGUGUAGAGGUGAAAUUCGUAGAUAUUACGCAAGAACACCAGUGG
rnacentral:rRNA from 1 species